UUCGGUAAAGAGCGGCGGACGGGUGAGUAACGCGUGGGUAACCUGCCCUGUACACACGGAUAACAUACCGAAAGGUAUGCUAAUACGAGAUAAUAUGCUUUUAUCGCAUGGUAGAAGUAUCAAAGCUUUUGCGGUACAGGAUGGACCCGCGUCUGAUUAGCUAGUUGGUAAGGUAACGGCUUACCAAGGCGACGAUCAGUAGCCGACCCGAGAGGGUGAUCGGCCACAUUGGAACUGAGACACGGUCCAAACUCCUACGGGAGGCAGCAGUGGGGAAUAUUGCACAAUGGGCGAAAGCCUGAUGCAGCAACGCCGCGUGAGCGAUGAAGGCCUUCGGGUCGUAAAGCUCUGUCCUCAAGGAAGAUAAUGACGGUACUUGAGGAGGAAGCCCCGGCUAACUACGUGCCAGCAGCCGCGGUAAUACGUAGGGGGCUAGCGUUAUCCGGAAUUACUGGGCGUAAAGGGUGCGUAGGUGGUUUCUUAAGUCAGAGGUGAAAGGCUACGGCUCAACCGUAGUAAGCCUUUGAAACUGGGAAACUUGAGUGCAGGAGAGGAGAGUGGA
rnacentral:rRNA from 1 species